UACGUAGGAUGCAAGCGUUGUCCGGAAUUAUUGGGCGUAAAGAGCGCGCAGGCGGUAUGACAAGUCAGAUGUGAAAGAGGCCGGCUUAACCGGCAAGGGUCAUUUGAAACUGUCAGACUAGAGUGCAGCAGAGGAUAGUGGAAUUCCCGGUGUAGUGGUGAAAUGCGUAGAUAUCGGGAGGAACACCAGUGGCGAAGGCGACUACCUGGCCCGUUCUUGACGCUGAGGCGCGAAAGCUAGGGUAGCAAACGGG
rnacentral:rRNA from 1 species